rnacentral:rRNA from 1 species
CGCGUGAGUAACCUGCCUUUCAGAGGGGGAGUAACGUUCUGAAAAGAAACGCUAAUACCGCAUAACAUCAAUUUAUCGCAUGAUAGGUUGAUCAAAGGAGCAAUCCGCUGGAAGAUGGACUCGCGUCCGAUUAGCCAGUUGGCGGGGUAACGGCCCACCAAAGCGACGAUCGGUAGCCGGACUGAGAGGUUGAACGGCCACAUUGGGACUGAGACACGGCCCAGACUCCUACGGGAGGCAGCAUG